rnacentral:rRNA from 1 species
UGCCGCGUGCAGGAAGAAUGCCCUACGGGUUGUAAACUGCUUUUAUAUAGGAAUAAACCCCUCUACGUGUAGAGGGCUGAAGGUACUAUACGAAUAAGGAUCGGCUAACUCCGUGCCAGCAGCCGCGGUAAUACGGAGGAUCCAAGCGUUAUCCGGAUUUAUUGGGUUUAAAGGGUGCGUAGGCGGGGCAAUAAGUCAGUGGUGAAAUCUUCCAGCUUAACUGGGAAACUGCCAUUGAUACUGUUGUUCUUGAGUUUGGUUGAAGUAGGCGGAAUGAGGCAUGUAGCGGUGAAAUGCAUAGAUAUGCCUCAGAACACCGAUUGCGAAGGCAGCUUACUAAGCCAAUACUGACGCUGAGGCACGAAAGCGUGGGUAGCGAACAGGAUUAGAUACCCUGGUAGUCCACGCUGUAAACGAUGAUUACUCGCUGUUGGCGAUACAAUGUCAGCGGCUAAGCGAAAGUGAUAAGUAAUCCACCUGGGGAGUACGUUCGCAAGAAUGAAACUCAAAGGAAUUGACGGGGGCCCGCACAAGCGGUGGAGCAUGUGGUUUAAUUCGAUGAUACGCGAGGAACCUUACCAGGGCUUAAAUGUAGAACGACCGAUUUGGAAACAAGUCUUCUCUUUGAGCGGUCUACAAGGUGCUGCAUGGUUGUCGUCAGCUCGCGCCGUGAGGUGUCGGGUUAAGUCCCUUAACGAGCGCAACCCCUAUCUCUAGUUGCCAGCGGAUAAUGCCGGGGACUCUAGAGAAACUGCCCGUGCAAACGGUGAGGAAGGUGGGGAUGACGUCAAAUCAUCACGGCCCUUACGUCCUGGGCUACACACGUGCUACAAUGGUCGGUACAGAGGGCAGCUACCACGUGAGUGGAUGCAAAUCUCGAAAGCCGAUCUCAGUUCGGAUUGAAGUCUGCAACUCGACUUCAUGAGGCUGGAAUCGCUAGUAAUCGCGCAUCAGCCAUGGCGCGGUGAAUACGUUCCCGGGCCUUGUACACACCGCCCGUCAAGCCAUGGAAGCUGGGGGUGCCUGAAGUCGGUUGCCGCAAGGCGCUGCCUAGGGUAAAACUGGUAACUGGGGCUAAGUCGUAACAAGGUAGCCGUACCGGAAGGUGCGGCUGGAAUACCUCCUUUCU